rnacentral:tRNA from 1 species
GCCCGGGUGGCUUAGUUGGUUAAGCGCCCGGCUUGGGCUCAGGUCAUAAUCUCACAAUUCGUGGGUUCGAGCCCAGCAUCGGGCU